rfam:Beta vulgaris subsp. vulgaris 0982.scaffold01578.1, whole genome shotgun sequence.
UAAUGAAGGAAGCAUGGUAAUGUACACAGAGAUUGAUAAUUUAGGUCAACAUGUCUGCUCCCUUGGAUUUAAUUCAUGAUAUGGGGGCCUGGUUAAACCUACAUUU